rnacentral:rRNA from 1 species
GCACGAAAGGCGUAACGAUUUGGGCACUGUCUCAACGAGAGACUCGGUGAAAUUUUAGUACCUGUGAAGAUGCAGGUUACCCGCGACAGGACGGAAAGACCCCAUGGAGCUUUACUGUAGUUUGAUAUUGAGUGUCUGUACCGCAUGUACAGGAUAGGUAGGAGCCGUAGAAAUCGGAACGCUAGUUUCGAUGGAGGCGCUGGUGGGAUACUACCCCUGCGUUAUGGCCACUCUAACCCGCACCACUAAUCGUGGUGGGAGACAGUGUCAGAUGGGCAGUUUGACUGGGGCGGUCGCCUCCUAAAAGGUAACGGAGGCGCCCAAAGGUUCCCUCAGAAUGGUUGGAAAUCAUUCGAAGAGUGUAAAGGCAGAAGGGAGCUUGACUGCGAGACCAACAAGUCGAGCAGGGACGAAAGUCGGGCUUAGUGAUCCGGUGGUUCCGCAUGGAAGGGCCAUCGCUCAACGGAUAAAAGCUACCCUGGGGAUAA